rnacentral:rRNA from 1 species
GUAGUCCACGCCGUAAACGAUGUCUACUUGGAGGUUGGUGUCUUGAACACUGGCUUUCGGAGCUAACGCGUUAAGUAGACCGCCUGGGGAGUACGGUCGCAAGAUUAAAACUCAAAUGAAUUGACGGGGGCCCGCACAAGCGGUGGAGCAUGUGGUUUAAUUCGAUGCAACGCGAAGAACCUUACCUACUCUUGACAUCCACGGAAUCCUGCAGAGAUGCGGGAGUGCCUUCGGGAACCGUGAGACAGGUGCUGCAUGGCUGUCGUCAGCUCGUGUUGUGAAAUGUUGGGUUAAGUCCCGCAACGAGCGCAACCCUUAUCCUUGUUUGCCAGCACUUCGGGUGGGAACUCCAGGGAGACUGCCGGUGAUAAACCGGAGGAAGGUGGGGACGACGUCAAGUCAUCAUGGCCCUUACGAGUAGGGCUACACACGUGCUACAAUGGCAUAUACAGAGGGCGGCAAGACCGCGAGGUGGAGCGAAUCCCACAAAGUAUGUCGUAGUCCGGAUUGGAGUCUGCAACUCGACUCCAUGAAGUCGGAAUCGCUAGUAAUCGUGGAUCAGAAUGCCACGGUGAAUACGUUCCCGGGCCUUGUACACACCGCCCGUCACACCAUGGGAGUGGGCUGCACCAGAAGUAGAUAGCUUAACCUUCGAGAGGGCGU